AGUAUUUAUUUAUAUUGAACUUAAAUAUUUUGGCGGUAUUUUAGUUUAUUUAGAGGAAUCUGUUUAUUAAUUGAUAAUCCACGAAUAAAUUUACUUAAUUUAUUAUUUUGUAUAUCAUUGUUAGAAAAAUAUUUUUUAAUGAUAAUAAUAUUUUAAAUUUAUAAAUAAAAAUUAAAUCAAAUCAAGAUGCAGAUUAUAAUUAAGAAUAUAAUGGAUUACAAUAAAUUUAUUUAUAUGAAUUUUGAUUUGUAAUAAUUAAAUGAAGGUGGAUUUAAAUGUAAUUUUAUUUAUUUUAAUAAAAUGAUUAA
rnacentral:rRNA from 1 species